GCCAUAGUUCAGUAGUAGAGUACUAGUAUCUGCUUUGCAUGCAGAAGAUCUCAGAUUCAAUCCCUGGUGUAUCCA